rnacentral:rRNA from 1 species
UGAGGAUUUUCUGCAAUGGGCGAAAGCCUGACCCAGCAAUACCGCGUGAGGGAUGAAGACUUCAUGAGUUGUAAACCUCGGUACCUUAGGGAAUAAUAUCUGACCGCACUUAAGGUGGAAAGCAUCAGCUAACGCCGUGCCAGCAGCCGCGAUAAAACGGGGGAUGCAAGUGUUAUCCGGAUUUACUGGGCGUAAAGCGACUGCAGGUGGUUUCUUAAAUCUACUGUGAAAGCUUGAGGCUCAACCUCUAAUCUUCAAUAUAAACUACGAGACUUGAGUAUAGUAUGGGUAAAGGGAAUUUCCAGAGGAGCGGUGAAAUGAUUAGAUAUAGAAAAGAACAGCGAUAGCGAACGCUCUCUACUGGGCUAUUACUGAAACUCAGAGACCAAGGCUAGGGGAGAGAUGGGAUUCAUACCCCAUACUCCUAGCCGUAAACGAUGGAACUCUAUGUAGGACGUAUCCACCCGUUCAUAUCUUAGCUAACACGUUACGAUCGCGCCUGGGGAGUACGCUCCAAGACU